CGGCUCUAGUGCUAUGGAAGCCAC
rnacentral:siRNA from 1 species